CCAUGAUCCAUUAACCCAGGCCUUGCUGGGAAGGGGCCCAGAAAGCCAGAGCGUCCAGGCAACCCAGGUGAUUGUUAUACUCAGGAAGCUUUCAAAAAUACCUCUAGAUACAAGAAAUGCUCAGCUGCAGAGAAGCAUCCAUCAAGAGUCUAGCAGGGGCUCUUGUUCCAGCUGCUCCCUGUGACUCCCCACUGCUCUGCAUUCUGCCAUAUCCAGUGAUGGUUUAUGACACAAUUCACCAGGCAGCAAGCCAUGUGCCUCUUACAGACAGCAAUUAGGAGAAAGGAAAGGCCGAAUUACAAGCAUGUCAAUAAAGGCCCAGCGAACGCCCUCAACCAAUUCCUCCAUCUACAAGAAAAUACCCAAAGAGGGAACGUCAAAGCCAAGAAGCUUCAGUCGAGGUUUUCUGGAACAAAAUUGGCUUGCAUGAGAAAUGACUCUUUACUCAACAUGGUCUGACCAGAUCUGCUUGACAAGACUGUGGCUGAUAAUAUGUGGCAAAGGCAACACUGCCCAAUGCUAGCCAGAAAUGGAGAAAACAAACAAGAAAGGUGAGCCAAUGUGUCAUCGUCGUGGCAGCACACUCAAAGACAAGGACAAGAAUCCUCUCAUUAAAAAUGCAGAGUUACAGGUGGCUCACACCUGUAAUCCUAACACUUUGGGAAGCCAAGGCGGGCAGAUCGCUUAAGCUCACGAGUCCAAGACCAGCCUGGACAACACGCCAAAGCCCCAUCUCUACAAAAAAUACAAAAAUUAGCCGGGCAUCAUGGCGCACACCUGUAGUCCCAGCUACUCGCAGGCUAAAGUGGGAAGAUGGCUUGAGCCUGGGAGGCAGAGGCUGCAGUGAGCCGAGAUCGCACCACUGCACUCCAGCCUGGGGGACAGAGCCAGACCUUGUCUCAAAAAAAAAAAAAAAAAAAAAAAUGCAGACCCUAUCUCCCUAGUCUGUAAAUCUGGACCGGCCUUGUGACUUGCUUUGGCCAACAAAAUGCAGAUAUUACAUUAUGCCUGUCCUGAGCCUAGGUCUCAGGAGACCUCACAUGUUUCUACUUGCUUGCUUGAACUUCUGCCAUCACCAUGAGAACAUGCACAGGCUAGCCGGCUGAAGGAAGCAGGACACAUGAAGCAGAGCCGAGUCAUUCCAAUCACCUCUGCCAAAGCCAACCUUGAUCAGCCAACCCCCAGAAAUUCAAGCCAGCCUGGCCAAAAUCAACAGAGCUGCAUGGGGGCCCACCACUGACUCCAGAUGCAUCAGCAGUAACUGCUUAUUGUCAAAUGCCAGUGAGGCUUUGUGAUUGAUUGUUACACAGCAUUACCAAAGCAACAGAAACUCUUGCAUCAUUUAUAACAGGAAAACAAGCUCAAAGAAGUUAACUGAUUUGCCCAUGUUGGUAAGAGCAGAGCUGGGCUAUGAGCUAUCAAUGCAACUUUGCAGAAAAUCAGAUGUAAUUUC
rnacentral:lncRNA from 1 species